rnacentral:rRNA from 1 species
UGCCAGCAGCCGCGGUAAUACGGAGGGGGUUAGCGUUGUUCGGAAUUACUGGGCGUAAAGCGCACGUAGGCGGAGUAGAAAGUUAGAUGUGAAAUCCCUGGGCUCAACCCAGGAACUGCAUUUAAAACUAGUGAUCUAGAAAUUGGUAAGGGUUAGUAGAAUUUCCAGUGUAGAGGUGAAAUUCGUAGAUAUUGGAAAGAAUACCAGAAGCGACGGCGACUAACUAGGCCAUUUUUGACGCUGAGAUACGAAAGCGUGGGUAGCAAACAGGAUUAGAUA